CACCACAUCCUGGACUUGACCCCUGGUUCCUGGCUCUGGCUGCUCCUUCUCUUCUCACAUAUGAGGCCAUCCAGCAAUUUGGAGCUGAUGAUCCACCAUGCAGCCCAUCAGUACAGUUCUUCUUUGCCUUGGUCUCUGUCUCUACCAGGGAAUCAAAGCACAAAAAGGUUCUCUCCCCAAGCCCAUUCUCUCAGCUGAGACAGAACUUAUCGCUCCGAGGAGCAAUCUGAGUCUCAAGUGCAAGAAGCCAGACAGUGAUCAUAUUCCCCAGAGAUGGACAUAUCUUCUGCUCAAGGAGGGGAAUUCACAGCCUUUGCAGAAACACACUGCAACUGGGUCCUGGGCUAAAUUCAGCCUUCUGUCAGUGACAACUCAGGAUUCUGGAAGCUAUAGGUGCAAGUACUUUGAUUUCCAGAAUCCACAAAGAGGGUCAGAGGACAGCAGUGCCCUGGAGAUCUGGGUGAAAGUUUAUCCUAUGAACAAUCUCAUCCAUAUCUGCUUGGCUGCAUUGGUUCUUGCUGUCAUUGGUAUGGUUUUGAGUUAUGACUGUCAUAGCCCAAGGAGUUGAGAAGAAGCCAGAGGAUCUCUGCCUAGAGCAACAACUCUGAACAGGCAGAAAAGACAUUUUGAGAUAAAAAUGUUGUUUGGAGUUCAACUUGUCCAUCAUAUUUUUUGUUCCAAGAAAUCAACCAACUCUGGGAAGCAUAAGGGGGCUUGGACUGAAAUAGGAUGGUGUCUGGAGUCUACCACAGGGAGUCUUGUGUUCCAUUCCAAAGUCCCAAUAAAAAUUGUUUCC
rnacentral:lncRNA from 1 species